CCAUUGGCACUGUGUUUCUUCUCCUGCAUCUCUGACUGGCUGUCGCUAGUCACGUCCAGCGUGGGGUUGUCAUGGCAACCGUUCUCCACAAAGUUCAGCUCUUCGCCUCUCGACUUCGGACGCGCCAUAAAGCAAAGGAGACAAAACCACAGACAAAUAAUAAAUCGAUUCGAACCCGACACGUCAUUCAUAGAACGUUGAGAGCAUGAAAUGAAAAGCCAACAAAUUACUAACACCUCAAAUUUAAAGAAUGAGCCUCCCAUUACACGUGAGCACAGAGGCCCUGAGUGUGUGUGUGUGUGUUACCCUGCUCGCUGGCUAAGG